rnacentral:rRNA from 1 species
CACGUAGGGGGCGAGCGUUAUCCGGAAUCAUUGGGCGUAAAGGGUGCGUAGGCGGCCUUUUAAGCGCGGGGUCUAAGGCGGUGGCCCUACCACCGUUCGCCCCGCGAACUGGAGGGUUAGAGUGUCGGAGAGGGAAGCGGAAUUCCUAGUGUAGCGGUGAAAUGCGUAGAUAUUAGGAGGAACACCAGUGGCGAAGGCGGCUUCCUGGACGAAGACUGACGCUGAGGCACGAAAGCGUGGGGAGCGAACAGG